AUUGAACGCUGGCGGCAUGCCUUACACAUGCAAGUCGAACGGUAACAGGUCUUCGGAUGCUGACGAGUGGCGAACGGGUGAGUAAUACAUCGGAACGUGCCUAGUAGUGGGGGAUAACUACUCGAAAGAGUGGCUAAUACCGCAUGAGAUCUACGGAUGAAAGCAGGGGAUCGCAAGACCUUGUGCUACUAGAGCGGCCGAUGGCAGAUUAGGUAGUUGGUGGGAUAAAAGCUUACCAAGCCGACGAUCUGUAGCCGGUAUGAGAGGACGAUCAGCCAAACUGGGAAGUCGACAAGGCCCAGACUCCUCCGGGAGUCAGCAGUGGGGAAUGUUGGACAAUGGGCGCAAGCCUGCUCCAGCAAUGCCGCGUGCAGGAUGAAGCCCUUCGGGUUGUAAACUGCUUUUGUACGGAACGAAAAGCCCUGGGUUAAUACCCUGGCGUCAUGACGGUACCGUAAGAAUAAGCACCUGCUAACUACGUGCCAGCCGCCGCGGUAAAAC
rnacentral:rRNA from 1 species